rnacentral:rRNA from 1 species
AGAGAGAGACAUGCGCGCAUAUCAAUAAGCGGAGGAAAAGAAACUAACAAGGAUUCCCUUAGUAACGGCGAGUGAAGCGGGAAGAGCUCAAAUUUGAAAUCUUCAAGGUUUUACCUUGACGAAUUGUAGUUUAAAGAAGUGUUUUCUGCUGAAGUUUUGGUAAAAGUUCUUUGGAAUAGGACAUCAUAGAGGGUGAGAAUCCCGUAUUUGACCAUCAUUUUCAGCUUUGUGAUAGCACUUUCAAAGAGUCGGAUUGUUUGGGAAUGCAGUCCAAAAUGGGUGGUAAAUUUCAUCUAAAGCUAAAUAUUGGCGAGAGACCGAUAGCGAACAAGUACCGUGAGGGAAAGAUGAAAAGAACUUUGAAAAGAGAGUUAAACAGUACGUGAAAUUGUCAAAAGGGAAGCGUUUGACACCAGUGUUGUUUUCUCGAAAAUCAAUUAAAAAUGGCUCGAUUUUGUAUUGUUGAGACCUUAAAAGCUCACUGUACAUUUUUCGUGUCUUUUUUAAUGCACUUUUCGUUUAACAAGUCAACAUCAGUUUCUUUUGUUGUAAAAGGGUCAUUGGAAGGUGGCUUUCUUUUCGGAGAAAGUGUUUAUAGCCUUUGGCCUCUGCAAUCGGAGAGACUGAGGUCUGCAGCGUAGACUCUUCGGGGUUAGAUACAUUUGUGCUAAGUUAUAGCUUUUUAUAGACAACUUGUUGACUAUAAUUAGUCUUGUAGCUUACUCGCUUAUGCUAUUUUACCUACGCUUAGGAUGUUGAGUCGUAGAGCACGCAG